rnacentral:rRNA from 1 species
UUAGUAAAGUGGCGUACGGGUGAGUAACACGUGGAUCAUCUACCUCUUAGUGGGGAAUAACUCUGGGAAACCGGAGCUAAUACCGCAUAAGCCUGGAAAGGGAAAGUCGCAAGACGCUGAGAGAGGAGUCCGCGGCCGAUUAGCUAGUUGGCAGGGUAAAAGCCUACCAAGGCAUUGAUCGGUAGCCGGCCUGAGAGGGCACACGGCCACACUGGCACUGAAACACGGGCCAG